UAAUACGUUUGGUUUUCUAUAUUUAGAUUGACUAUUUUGAAAGAGCAAAGCGCUUGGAAGAAAUUCCUCUGAUAAAGACUGCCUAUGAAGAACAAAGAAUCCGAGAUAUGGACCUGUGGGAACAGCAAGAAGAAGAAAGGAUCAGCACAAUGCAGCUGGAACGUGAAAAAGCCUUGGAGCAUAAGAACAGGAUGUCAAGGAUGUUGGAGGAUAAAGACUUAUUUGUAUCUAGGCUCAAGGCAGCACGACAAUCCAUUUAUCAGG